GAUGUGAACACAUUGACCCCAUGACAGCCGAGCAGCCGUGACCCAUGGAGGAGUGGUUGCUUCAUGUUUUCCAGGGCUAGGAACGCGCCACCCCCCCCCAUCUUGUGAUCACCCUGGUAAUCUUCAAAUCCUUCAUCUGAACAAACCAUGGCUGCCCGGCCCUCAACCGCGCAUCCUACACUCUGAGCCCCUCGUACUGCGUUGCCGCCUGGGAAGGAGGACUCUGACCACUAGAUGGAAUUCACUCAUUCACCCUGCAGGAUGGUCAGUAAGUCCCCGGUCUGCCUGUGGAACAGAGGGGGAGAGGGAGGAAAUUGGGCUGAACACCUGAAAAAGAGUUCAUGAAAUUUAAUCAGUGCCUAAGGGGAGCACCUAAAUUUAGUCAAAUUAUUAUUAGCGCUCAUUCCAUUUUUAAAUUGCCUAG